CCACACGAAGACAGUUUUAGGUGUCCCUGUGAUUUCAUCUCCAGCCAAUCGUUUCAGUUCUCCAGCCCCCUUCCUGCCAAAGUACCUAGGCUACUGAAAUAAAACUGGCGUCUGGGAAACCCGGAGGCCAGAGCAACUGGUCAGGCCCAGAUGAGAAACCUGUGCUAGAAAUGAGAGUCAGGAUUGAAACCAGGUAGUCCAGCUUCAGAGACCAUGCUUUUUAGCACAGCCCCUGGCCUUUGUGGCCUCAUUUAAGGGUUUCAGCAGAGAAAGGACAUGGCCAGAUAGAAAUAUUGGAAUGGCAGAAGUAGCCGGAAUCUCAGAAAGACUGACUGACUGACUCUGACAGGAUCCGGGGCUGAAGGAAGGAGGCGGUGACCAUGGAGUUAGGUGAGCUGCUCUACAACAAGUCUGAGUAUAUCAAGACGGCAUCUGGGAACAAAGUCAGUCUCCAGUCAGUGUUGUGUGGAAGCCAGAACAUACUUCUCAAUCGCAAGACCAUGUGGUGAAUGACUGUAUUAUCUGAGGGGAUCUGGAAAACAUAAGAGAUGGACUCCAUUGUGUUGUGAAAAGUUGUAGUGUCAUAAGGCCACCAUUCAAGAAAUUCAGCAAAGGUGUUGAAUUCUUUCCUUUACAUAUUGGGGACCAUGUCUUUAUUGAGGAAGAGUGUGUGGUCAACGCAGCUCAGAUUGGUUCUUGCAUUCAUGUUGGCAAGAACUGCGUGAUUGGGUGCCGGUGUUUGUUGAAAGACUGCUGCAAAAUUCUUGACAACACAGCAUUACCUCCAGAAACUGUGGUCCCACCAUUCACUGUCUUCUCAGGCUGCCCAGGAUGCUUCUCAGGAGAGCUCGUGGAGUGCACUCAGGAGCUGACGAUUGAUGUCACCAAGAGCUAUUAUCAGAAGUUUUUGCCCCUGACACAAGUCUAGCAUCUCUGCCUCAUGUCUUGAAUCUGCUUGAGCUCUAAGAUGAACCUGGGGACAAAGUAAGCUAGUCAGCACCUACAAAGAGCUCUUGUGUCUUUGACAUCUACCACCCUCCUUCUUUAAAAAAAUUUCUUUAGAAUUUCUCAAUCCUCAAGGCUCUAAGCUCUUAAGAAUUUACUAACAGAUGGACCAUCUGGAGGAGUUGUCUUCAAAUGCUGUGCUUACACCUUAUCUGUGACCAGUCACUUUGUACCAUUAUCCGUGGAACACAGAAUCAUCUGUUCCCAACGCUCCAGCCCCUUGGUCUUGUGCAUGGCUGGAUCCCACCGGAAACGGGCCUGCACAGCAGCAGCACCCUCCUGGUGUGGAGGUUAUGUAGCUGGUGAGCUGCUCACAGCCAUACACUGCCCAUGCCGAGCACCUCCCACACAGCAACUCUUAGGCAUUAUCAUUACCUUCACCACUGAAAUAAAGAUCCAUAGAACUCUGGCAGGUAACCAAGCAAGAGAGUCCUGAUUGGGAGGAAGGACCUUUGGAUCUCAUCCUACAAUGUUGUAUCCUAAUGCCUAGAGCCUGGCGCACAGUAGAGAGAGUCUAGAAAAAAAGCCUUAAUUAUGUCAACGGAAUGAAUGGUGAAGACUGAAAUAUCAGAAAGGUGCUUCUGUGCCAGAGAACUUUCUAAUCCUGCACACGAGUACUAUGAUCGCUGGGAGAGAAGAGCCAGGGAAGAAGGUUUAAUAAAAGGGUGGCUGC
ensembl:lncRNA novel transcript